rnacentral:sRNA from 1 species
UGAUGCCAAGGUCAAAAGGUCUAAAUCCACAUGAGCUUGCUCAUAAGUGGAUGAAAGGCCUUGGGACCCGCCCCAAUAUGAGCCUAAAAGUGGGAUGACAAUCCCACGAUAUGCGAGAGGCUCGUCCGAUAACA